CUGUUUCCUGAGAUCACAGAGACACCUCUCAGUCACCCCAGACAUUGUCUUCUCCAGGCACUGCUACCAUGUUACUGAGGCAGUGAAACUGCCAUCCCUGCUGGGCACCAUGUUCAUUUAUGGAGCUGACAAGGGGGUUUUAAAUUAAUCCAGCUGAUUUGGGAGCUCCUUCAUGUAGAUCUGACCUCCAGCCUCAUGCUGAUGCUGAGGAGCCCUGUCUUCA